rnacentral:rRNA from 1 species
CAGCCGCCACGGUAAUACGUAGGGUGCAAGCGUUAUCCGGAAUUAUUGGGCGUAAAGAGCUCGUAGGCGGUUUGUCGCGUCUGCUGUGAAAACUGGAGGCUCAACCUCCAGCCUGCAGUGGGUACGGGCAGACUAGAGUGCGGUAGGGGAGAUUGGAAUUCCUGGUGUAGCGGUGGAAUGCGCAGAUAUUAGGAGGAACACCGAUGGCGAAGGCAGAUCUCUGGGCCGUAACUGACGCUGAGGAGCGAAAGCGUGGGGAGCGAACAGGAUUAGAUACCCCAGUAGUCCCUGUCUCUUAUAC